CUGAGGCGGGUGGAUCACCUGAGGUCAGGAGUUUGAGACCAGCCUGGCCAACAAGGUGAAACCCCGUCUCUACUAAAAAUACAAAAAAUUAGCCGGGCGCGGUGGCGGGCGCCUGUAGUCCCAGCUACUCGGGAGGCUGAGGCAGGAGAAUGGCGUGAACCCGGGAGGCGGAGCUUGCAGUGAGCCGAGAUUGCGCCACUGCAGUCCGCAGUCCGGCCUGGGCGACAGAGCGAGACUCCGUCUCAAAAAAAAAAAAAAAAAAAAGAAAACGAAAACGGAUCUUAAGUAAGAGAAUGUGGAGCCACCAGGGGAAAGAACAAUUGCAGGGAAAGAGGCCUGAUUAUAUUCCAGACCCUGGUCCCAGCCAUUCCUUAUCUGCUUACCUAAAUUAAUUCAAAUUGAGUUUCACCAUCAUACUGGGACCCCCACCUGAUGUGGUUUCGUUGCCCAUUUUUCAAAUAUGUAUUAUUUGUGGCUUACAUUAACAUCUUAGAUUUCACUCUGACUUCCUCACCAGUCAGUCUUAAUCUGCUAUAAUAUGGCCAUCACUCCAUAUGGUUGAAACUGUUGGUAUCCAAAUUACAAGUGACUUAAUGUCUAAAUCCACUGGAUGCAUUCUACUUGUUAAUAUAUUUGACACACAUAAACACUCACACUGACACACAUAAGUACUUCUUAAAACUCUCUCCUCCAUGGGUUGGAACUAUAGUCUCUUGGACUUUUCUUUCCCUACUCUAACCCGUCUUCUCAGUUUCCUCCAAAGACUCGCUUUCCUUCACCUACUCAUUACAUGUUAGUGUUCCCCCAAAGUUCCACCUGUUGUCAUCUCGUCUCUAUACUCUAACAUCCUUGGUGAUCCCAUCUACAACUCCUAUGUCAGCUACCAUUGUUGGUGCUAAUGCCGUCUAUGUCCGUGUCCCAACAUCAGAUCUCCAUGAGAUGUUCCAGAAAUACAUAUGCUAUUAUCUUUUGGAUU
rnacentral:lncRNA from 1 species